AGCAUGUGGUUUAAUUCGAUGAUACGCGAGGAACCUUACCUGGGCUCAAAUGUAUGUUGACGUAUCUGAAAGGGAUACUUCUUCGGACAAUAUACAAGGUGCUGCAUGGUUGUCGUCAGCUCGUGCCGUGAGGUGUCGGGUUAAGUCCCGCAACGAGCGCAACCCCUAUCAUCUGUUGCCAGCAUUUAAGGUGGGGACUCAGAUGAGACUGCCGGUGACAAACCGGAGGAAGGUGGGGACGACGUCAAGUCAUCAUGGCCCUUAUGUCCUGGGCUACACACGUGCUACAAUGGCCGGUACAGAGUGAAGCGAAACCGCGAGGUGAAGCAAAACGCAGAAAGCCGGUCUCAGUACGGAUUGGAGUCUGAAACUCGACUUCAUGAAGUUGGAAUCGCUAGUAAUCGCGCAUCAGCAUGGCGCGGUGAAUACGUUCCCGGGCCUU
rnacentral:rRNA from 1 species